AGUGAACGCUGGCGGUAGGCCUAACACAUGCAAGUCGAACGGCAGCACAGUAAGAGCUUGCUCUUACGGGUGGCGAGUGGCGGACGGGUGAGGAAUACAUCGGAAUCUACUUUUUCGUGGGGGAUAACGUAGGGAAACUUACGCUAAUACCGCAUACGACCUACGGGUGAAAGCAGGGGAUCUUCGGACCUUGCGCGAUUGAAUGAGCCGAUGUCGGAUUAGCUAGUUGGGGGGGUAAAGGCCCACCAAGGCGACGAUCCGUAGCUGGUCUGAGAGGAUGAUCAGCCAAACUGGAACUGAGACACGGUCCAGACUCCUACGGGAGGCAGCAGUGGGGAAUAUUGGACAAUGGGCGCAAGCCUGAUCCAGCCAUACCGCGUGGGUGAAGAAGGCCUUCGGGUUGUAAAGCCCUUUUGUUGGGAAAGAAAAGCAGCAGGUUAAUACCCCGCUGUUCUGACGGUACCCAAAGAAUAAGCACCGGCUAACUUCGUG
rnacentral:rRNA from 1 species